GGUAGCGUGGCCGAACGGUCUAAUGCGCUGGUUUGAGUCACCAAUCUCUUCGGAGGUGUGGGUUCGGAUCUCACCGUUGCCU